UACGGAGGUGGCAAGCGUUGCUCGGAAUCACUGGGCGUAAAGGGCGCGUAGGCGGGGAGGUAAGUCGGGUGUGAAAUCUCGGAGCUUAACUCCGAAACUGCAUUCGAUACUGCCGUGCUUGAGGACUGGAGAGGAGACUGGAAUUUACGGUGUAGCGGUGAAAUGCGUAGAUAUCGUAAGGAAGACCAGUGGCGAAGGCGGGUCUCUGGACAGUUCCUGACGCUGAGGCACGAAGGUCAGGGGAGCAAACGGG
rnacentral:rRNA from 1 species